GACGAGCCACACAAGCGUUAUUCGGAAUUACUGGGCUUAAAGGGUGCGUAGGCGGCCAACUAAGUCAGACGUGAAAUCCCUCGGCUUAACCGGGGAACUGCAUCUGAUACUGGAUGGCUUGAGUUCGGGAGAGGGAUGCGGAAUUCCAGGUGUAGCGGUGAAAUGCGUAGAUAUCUGGAGGAACACCGGUGGCGAAGGCGGCAUCCUGGACCGGCACUGACGCUGAGGAGCGAAAGCGUGGGGAGCGAACAGG
rnacentral:rRNA from 1 species